GGCUAAAUAAGUUUAUGAAGAAUAAAUUGAAUCCAUUCCGAAUACAACCCGAAGAAAGAACAGAAGUGUUUUCGCUGUUUCAAUUCGAUUACGAUUCCAUUUCUACAUGGCGACCGUGACAGGACACACGUAAAUGUUAGAAGUAAAAACAUUAAAACAGCACGCAGAUUCCAAAGAUUGCCCGAAAUAUAUAAAACCGAUCGAAAAGAUACAAUAAAACUGAACUACAAAGUGAUGUGUACCAGAUUGUAGUCCAACAAUUCAAAUACAGGAUGUGACAAACUUGCCAAAUAACAAUUUUCAUUUAAAGUGAUGUGUACCAAAUUGCAGUCCAACAAUUCAAAUACAGAAUGUGACAAACUUGCCAAAUAACAAUUUUUAUUCAUCGCCAGGCAGAAGAAAAUUUAAAAGACAGCGCUACAUAAAGCGCAUGGGCAACAAAAAAAAAAAAAAAAACCUGUGCGAAGACCAGCACCGGCUCCACCAGACCCAGCAAGGGACAAUAAUAAAAGUGCGAGUGGCAUAGGACCGCCCCUUGCACCGUCGAUGGACAGUAACACGAAAACACCAGCAGCAGAAAAUAUACAAGACUUCGCCGACGCUGCUCCUACUGAGCAAAGGGACGCACUCAGCCUACAAGAGGCUUUAGAAGUGUAUCCAACCGCGGGACCACGCCCACUCACAAUAGCUGAGUACAGGGCUCCCAGCAAAAGAAGCUAAAACCCAAAACCUAACGAGGAGGAGAAAAAACGAAUACAAUUUUAUGGAAUGGCCAUCAACAAAAAUACAGUAAUAAAAGCAGAAACGCUAAUACACCAUGUCAAUAACAUAGUAGCACAAUAUAAUAGAAUCACACAAUUAGUAAGUUCUCGAGAUAACAAGCUAACUAGUGAAAACCAGCAUCAAUGCCAAAGGCUAUUACGAUCAUUGAAUACAAGGUUGACAACCAUUGCAGAAAGAUGAGGUAUUGAGAUACAUGUCCCAAAAAGUCUAGGUUCGUUAGCUCAUUUUGAUGAAAGUCAACUAGACAAUAUAGAUGAAUCAAAGCCGAUAAUAGACACUGAAGUCGAAAGCGACACAGAAUUAAAUCCUCAAUUAGAAAGUAUAGACCUUUGCAAAGAUAUAAUAGACACCGACGUCGGAAGCGACUCGGAACUAAAAACCGAAAUGACAAUAUCAGACAAAAUGAACCAAGUAGAAAAAGAUCGGCAGUACGUGAAACUAGUCUCAUCCUCUAUCCCAGAGUUUGACGGCAGUAAACAGUCUCUUCAACGUUUCUUAACAGCGUUAAAAAACACGGAUAGGACUAAAGGAGAUCAAGAAGAUCUAGCCAUUGCAGUUAUCAAAUCAAAGAUAACGGGAUCUAUCCUUUAUAAAGUCCAAAGUGAACAAACGAUCGAUGGCAUAAUCAAAAAGCUUAAUGAUAACGUCAAGGGAGAAUUAAACAAAAAGGAAAAACGGCAUCUCAAUAUGCCACCGAUAUUGACAACCUGCGCAAGCAGCUCGAUGAAGGGCUAGACGCAGAUAACGCCAACAAAUUUUCGAUGAAAGAGUCCAUAGCAGCCAUGACUCGCAAUUGUGAGCAUGACAAGCUGCGCCUAAUACUUGAAGCAGGCAAAUUCAAUACUUUCAACGACGCAAUGGGUAAAUACAUCCAUUGCAGCACCGAAAUAACUGGAAAUGCCAGCACAGUAUUUCAUUACAGAGGCAACAGUGGUCGCGGUUAUCGUAGAAGUUACAAUAACCGCGGCAAUAAUAGAUCGAACAGAAGUAAUUACCAAAACAGAGGUAAUUACUAUAGUAACAAUAACCAAAAUAAUUACAGAAGCAAUUAUAGAGGCCAAAAUAGAGGAAACUCUAGGGGCCAGGGUAACUCAAACAGAGGCCAAAACAAUGCCAACAAUGUAAAUGUACGAGCUACUGAAAGUAGUUCGGAAAACCAAUAAACCCCUUAAGAUAUUCAAAUUGUGCGA